AGUGAACGCUGGCGGUAGGCCUAACACAUGCAAGUCGAACGGCAGCACAGUAAGAGCUUGCUCUUACGGGUGGCGAGUGGCGGACGGGUGAGGAAUACAUCGGAAUCUACUUUUUCGUGGGGGAUAACGUAGGGAAACUUACGCUAAUACCGCAUACGACCUACGGGUGAAAGCAGGGGAUCUUCGGACCUUGCGCGAUUGAAUGAGCCGAUGUCGGAUUAGCUAGUUGGCGGGGUAAAGGCCCACCAAGGCGACGAUCCGUAUCUGGUCUGAGAGGAUGAUCAGCCACAUUGGAACUGAGACACGGUCCAGACUCCUACGGGAGGCAGCAGUGGGGAAUAUUGGACAAUGGGCGCAAGCCUGAUCCAGCCAUACCGCGUGGGUGAAGAAGGCCUUCGGGUUGUAAAGCCCUUUUGUUGGGAAAGAAAAGCAGCAGGUUAAUACCCCGCUGUUAUGACGGUACCCAAAGAAUAAGCACCGGCUAACUUCGUG
rnacentral:rRNA from 1 species